UGGGGACGGUGGGAGGGCGCGCGGUAAUGACGUCGGAGCGGCGCGGUCGGCCGCGGGGCGUGGUCGAAGAGGUUUGUCGUUCCCCACUCAACUCCGCGCCGUCUCAUCCUCGCUAGCAGAGUCCAGGUCUCUAGCCCGGAUCUGGCUCAGAAGCUGCCCUCUGCAGCAGCUCCCUGGGGGACGAUGGGACCUGCGUGUCCUGCAGACCCCUCACGACCCGUGUGUCAAAAACUGGAUUCCUGUUUUCCUUGAGGACCCCUUUGCCCCCGGGUAAAGGAGAGCUCGUCCCGGAGCCACUCGGCGCACCGACCGCCGCUGCGACACCCCGGAGCGCCGAGCUGAGUCGGGCCACCCGGGCCAGUCUGGCCCAGACAGCGGGGACCCAAGAACUUCGCGUGGUCCCUUCUACAGGAGACUAGAAGGAGGGAUGGUGCGGAGCCGCGUCUCCCGCUCGAGCUUGCCCACCCACUGCCUGGGAACGUGCACGUCUAACAGGCUUCCCGGUGUGGGUGAUGCUGCUGUCUGGGGAUAUUUUGACAACCACUCACGUAGUAAUUGAGUGUAUAGACUCCGGAAUUAAAUGGGACUUGCUUUAAAUCUCACCUCUGCUAUUCACUGUCUCUGUCACCUUUUUGAGCCUCUAUUAAAUUACUGAAAGUACUCGCUUGUGAGAAUUAGAUGGUGGAGACAUGACUGUAUUCAUGGGUGGCAAAAAACAAACAUAGAAUGAAAGCAAACAAGCUGAAGAAAAACGGUAUUUCCAAUAAAAUAGUACUCUUUAAAGAAAAUCCGCA
rnacentral:lncRNA from 1 species